UACAGAGGGUGCGAGCGUUAAUCGGAGUUACUGGGCGUAAAGCGCACGUAGUCGGCUUUGCAAGUCGGGUGUGAAAUCCCCGGGCUCAACCUGGGAACUGCAUCCGAGACUGCAUUGCUAGAGUAUGGGAGAGGGAAGCGGAAUUUCUGGUGUAGCAGUGAAAUGCGUAGAUAUCAGAAGGAACAUCAGUGGCGAAGGCGGCUUCCUGGACCAAUACUGACGAUCAGGUGCGAAAGCGUGGGGAGCAAACAGG
rnacentral:rRNA from 1 species